UACGUAGGGGGCAAGCGUUGUCCGGAAUCAUUGGGCGUAAAGAGCGCGUAGGCGGUCCGGUAAGUCCGCUCUGAAAGUCCGGGGCUCAACCCCGGGAGGCGGGCGGAUACUGUCGGGCUAGAGUCCGGAAGAGGCGAGUGGAACUCCUAGUGUAGCGGUGAAAUGCGUAGAUAUCAGGAGGAACACCUGCGGUGUAGACGGCUUACUGGACCAUAACUGACGCUGAGGCACGAAAGCGUGGGUAGCAAACAGG
rnacentral:rRNA from 1 species